rnacentral:rRNA from 1 species
AGACGUAGGGGGCGAGCGUUGUCCGGAAUUACUGGGCGUAAAGAGCACGUAGGCGGGUUAGAAAGUCAGAUGUGAAAGACCGUGGCUUAACUACGGGGUUGCAUCUGAAACUAGUAAUCUUGAGGGCAGGAGAGGUCAGUGGAAUUCCUGGUGUAGCGGUGAAAUGCGUAGAAAUCAGGAGGAACACCGGUGGCGAAGGCGACUGACUGGACUGACCCUGACGCUGAGGUGCGAAAGCGUGGGUAGCAAACAGGAUUAGAUACCCUGGUAGUCCACGCUGUAAACGAUGGAUACUAGGUGUGGGAGGUAUCGAUCCCUUCCGUGCCGGAGCAGACGCAAUAAGUAUCCCGCCUGGGGAGUACGGUCGCAAGGCUGAA